ACCGGGAUGAGCUCAAAUUUGAAAUCUGGCGUCUUUCAGGCGUCCGAGUUGUAAUCUAUAGAGGCGUUUUCCGCGCCGGACCGCGUCCAAGUCUCUUGGAAUAGAGUAUCAAAGAGGGUGACAAUCCCGUACUUGACGCGACAACCGGUGCUCUGUGAUACGUUCUCAAUGAGUCGAGUUGUUUGGGAAUGCAGCUCUAAAUGGGUGGUAAAUUCCAUCUAAGGCUAAAUAUUGGCGAGAGACCGAUAGCGAACAAGUACCGUGAGGGAAAGAUGAAAAGCACUUUGGAAAGAGAGUUAAACAGCACGUGAAAUUGUUAAAAGGGAAACGAUUGAAGUCAGUCGUGUGGGAAGUAUUCAGCCGUCUCUGGCGGUGUAUUUGCUUCUCACGGGUCAACAUCAGUUUGAUCCGGUAGAAAAAGGCGGGAAGAAGGUGGCACCCUCGGGUGUGUUAUAGCUUCCUGUCAUAUGUGCCGGACCAGACUGAGGAACGCAGCUUGCAGCAAUGCCGGGGUUCGCCCACGUACAAGCUUAGGAUGUUGACAUAAUGGCUUUAAACGACCCGUCUUGACCACGGGAACC
rnacentral:rRNA from 1 species